rnacentral:lncRNA from 1 species
CACCAUAAAUUAAGUCAGUUGCCUGUGAUGCGCUCGAGAAGUUUAAUGUUCCUUUCUUUUAACCUUUUGGAUAGUUUUCAGAAAGUCGAAAGAAGCACCUCUUAAUCUAUAGAAUUAUCUGAACCCCUGCAUUCAUUUAUAUAAUAGAGAUAGUCCCCACACUCUGACUUGGUGCCAGGCACUAUGGAACUACAGCAGUGAGUAAAAAUAUCAACAUCUCUGUAGGCAGACAGCUUCUAAUUAUUAUUUUACUGUUGUUACUUAACGUUCAGAAAAACUCAGCCCUUCUUGCAUUUUUUCUAGCUGACCAAUCAGUCUCUGAAGUACUAUCUCAUGUCUAUUUUGAUCUCUAAAUUACCCUGUGAGGUAGUUUGGCAGGAAUUAAUCCCCUCUUCAGAGACCAGGAAAAAUGUAAACUUGCCAAGGUCACACAGAGCUGGGAUUCAAAAACCAGGUCUCUUAACCCUAAGGUCUGCCCUUUCUCCAUGAUACCAUUUUCCCAAUUAGGUACUUUUAUUUUCUGACCUCUAGUUUGCUAGAUGGUCAAAGAUAAGCAGUUCUUUGUGACACUCUAGAUACAGACAAAUUUCUCAGAAAACUGAACAAAUAUUGAGGAAUCAGAACACAGGUUUUUUCAGUCCUGCUGCCUGAUUUAAUGGCCUCAGAAGCCCCGGCUAUGCUGGCCCCGGCAUAUUUCCAGGGCUACCGAGAAGACAGAAAGAUACUGAAAAUUACAUCCUUCAAUGUUUGUUUCCUUUCAUAUGCACCUUUUUUUGGCAGCCCCAUGGCAUAUGGAGUUCCCAGGCCAGGGAUCACACCUGAGCCACAGUUGCAGCCUCUGCCACAGCUACAGUCACGCCGGAUCCUUUAACUCACUGUGCUAGCCUGGGAACCAAACCUGCAUCCCAGAGCUCCAGAGACACUCUGAUCCCAUUCCUCCUUUCCUAACCCACCAGAGACAAUAUCUUUCCUACCCCCAAAGCUUAAAGAACAAGAAAGUACAGUGGGAGAAGGGUUUCCGACAACACCACAAAUCACUUGCCGACGUCCCCAGUGGCAUAAACCAUCAUGCUGUAUGAUACAUGGACCUGUGGCCCCUCCUCAUUUUUCAAACCGGGAUGCUGGCAUCCAGUCACUGGAGUGGAAUUGGCCCAGUAAUGUUUUCCAUCUGCUGGCUUGGCACGAGUCAUUACGGGGUGUCACCUGGGUUCUGUCUUAGAGUCUCUAGGGCCAAGGCUAGAGGCACUACAGAAGAACAAUUACCUUAUUCAUCUGUCAGCACUGUUUACUUUAUGUGAACAAAACAAGAUUUUGCUGAAGUAUAUAAAAGAAAUUUACUGGAAAAGAAAAGUCUAGGCAUCCUCUCCCCCCCCCCCCCCCACCCCUGCCCUCACAUCUUCAAAUUCUGAUACAUCUCAAAUGUCACCUUCUCUAAGGAGCUUUUCCCCACACCCUCAACCUCCAUGUGCCCCUGGAGAACUUAUUUCAUAUUGCUUUGUGUCGCCAUUAUUUAUUUGUAUUUCUCUCCCUCCCACUAGACUGUAAACUCUUCAAAGGAGAAUAUGAACUGUAUCUUUUAAAGUUCAUACCACUCAGUAAGUUUCUGUUGAGGGAAUGAUUUGCAAGUAUAGAAAAAAAUGGUAAUUCCUGUUAGUUUUAAACUAAAUCUACAGGAAUAAAAUAUGUUGAAUUUGGCAUUCUGAAAAUGAAUUAAAGCCUUUUUUUUCCCUUUUAUAAAAAGUUAGCAAUAGGAAGUUCAGUGUGAAAACACUUUUAAAACAAUUUUAAAAACAAUGUUAAAAACGACUGAACUUUUUAUUGUGGAAAACCAACAGGAUGUUCAAAACUACUCAAUAUCAUUUAAAAUUGACCUUAUUUAAUGGAAAUGUUCACAUUAUUAGUAUUUCAGAAGUGAUGUAUAUGCUAGUCAUAGGAGAAAUUAUUUCUAAAAGAAUGUAAGACUUUUAAAAAUUUUUUAUUAUAGUUGAUUUGCAGUGUUCUGUCUAUUUCUGAUAUAUAGCAGAGUAACCAGUUAUGCAUAUAUACACAUUCUUUUUCUCAUAUUAUACUCCUUCAUGUUCUAUCACAAGUGAUGGGAUAUAGUUCCCUGUGCUAUACAGCAGGACCUCUUUGCUUAUCCAUUCUAAAUGUUAUAGUUUGUAUCUACUAACCCAAAACUCCCAAUCCAUCUCACUCCCUUUCCCUCUCCCUUGGCAACCACAAGUCUGUUCUCCAUAUCUGUGAGUCUGUUUCUAUCUCUGUAGAUAGGUUCAUUUAUGCCAUGUUUAGAUUCCACAUAUAAGUGAUAUCAUAUGGUAUUUGUCUUUCUCCUUCCGAUUUACAUCACUUAAUAUGAGAAUCUCUACUUCCAUCCAUGUUGCUGCAAAUGGCAUUGUUUUGUUCUUUUUUUGGCUGAGUAGUAUUCCAUUGCGUAUAUGUACCACAUCUUUUUAAUCCAUUCAUCUGUCGAUGGACAUUUAGGUUGUUUCCAUGUCUUGACUAUCUGUGAAUAGUGUUGCAAUGAACGUAGGGGUACAUGUAUCUUUUUCAAUGAAAGUUUUGUCUGGAUAUAUGCCCAGGAGUGGGAUUGCUGGAUUAUGUGGUAGUUCUAUAUUUGAUUUUCUGAGGAACCUCCAUACUGUUUUCCAUAGUGGUUGUACCAAUUCACACUCCUGCCAACAGUGUAGAAGGGUUCCCGUUUCUCCACACCCUCCCCAGCAUUUGCUAUUUGUAGACUUAUUUAUUAAUGAUGACCAUUCUGACUGGUGUGAGGUGGUACCUUAUUGUAGUUUUGAUUUGCACUUAUCUAACAAUUAGUUAUGUUGAGCAUUUUUUCAUGUGCCUAUUGGUCAUCUGUAUGUCUUCUUUGGAGAAAUGUCUUUUUUUUUUUUUUUAAUGUAUCACAUUGAUGCUGGUUUAGACAGUUCAGGGAGAGCGAAUGAGGUGGCUACAGGAGUACAGGAGUACUUCUGGAAGGAAGAGCAUCUGAAAAAAAAA